rnacentral:ncRNA from 1 species
UCGAUGGAGAGUUUGAUCCUGGCUCAGGACGAACGCUGGCGGCGUGCUUAACACAUGCAAGUCGAGCGGACCUUCGGGUCAGCGGCGAACGGGUGAGUAACACGUGGGCAACCUGCCCCAGGCUCUGGAAUAACUCCGGGAAACCGGGGCUAAUGCCGGAUAUUCACACCUUUGGGCAUCUGGUGGUGUGGAAAGAUUUAUUGGCUUGGGAUGGGCCCGCGGCCUAUCAGCUUGUUGGUGGGGUAAUGGCCUACCAAGGCGACGACGGGUAGCCGGCCUGAGAGGGCGAUCGGCCACACUGGGACUGAGACACGGCCCAGACUCCUACGGGAGGCAGCAG